UUACGGCCACAUCACGUUGAAACACGGGUUCACAUACGAUCCCUAAAGUUAAGCAAUGUCGAGCCUAGUCAGUAGCUAUAUGGGAGGCCGUUUGGGAAUACUUGGUGCUGUAA